UUUUCAAAUGUCUAAAAAUGUUCAUUGUGCCAGAUUGUGCCGCACUUGUGCUCCACACUGUGCCGCAAAGCCCGCGAAAAAAAGAUAAAAAAAUGACGAAAAUGAGUCAAAAAGCGUUUUUUUUUUUUUUAAGUAGCUCCGCCAUUUUGGAAUUGUUUAAAAAAAAUUAUUGUGCCGGAUGGUGGAAGGUGCAUCGAACGUUGUGUCGCCGGCGUAUUUGCAGAAACUGCGACGGUUCUUGCACAAAUCGAGGUUUUCAAAAAUCAUCGCAGUGAAACUGAAAAAUAACAAAAUCAAUUUUGACGUUGAAAAAAAAAUGCUUUUUCGCUCCAUUUUCGUCAUUUUUUGAACAUUUUUUCGUGAGCUUUGUGGCACAGCGGAGCACAAAUGCAGCACAAUCUUUACACAUUUUCAAAAUGGUGGAGCUAAGUUCACGGACAUAAUUGAGUCCUACAGAUCUGAUCGAAUGUUUCAAUUUUUUUGCACACUCAUUUUUUCGACUUACUUUUGAUUUACUCGCGAAAAUAUUUUUCGACAUUCAAAUUAGACGGAAUCGAUCCCUUUGGCGCAGGUCGUCGGAUUCGUAAACUAAAUCGAUAUGAUGCAUUGAAGGUGAAAAAAAGUGAGAAGAAAAAACAAGUGGUUGUAACUCCAGGGAGGAAAUAAACUCGUUGCUAAUUUCCAAUAAAUAUUUGAUUUGGACGACGUACACCUAUAAUAUCGUCAAGGACAGGAUCAGAUCUUCCGGAGGUCCUUCAUGAACCUGCAGAUAGAUAUAACCUCAGGUGAAGCCUUCGUACGAACGUCAAGGUUGCGGUAAUAACGAUGAGGUAAUGUGGUUGAAUGUCUGUGUAUAUUGCAACUAGAUUCUCAACGUUCUUCAUUUUCUUUCCAUCCCAUUCCAUGUCGAAUAUUUCAAUGUCCGAACGGCGCUUGUACAGUUUCUCUUCGAGUGCAAAAAACUAGAAAAAAAAACGCGCGUUACCAUGGGAGAUAUUUGUCGGUCGAGAAAACCUGGACAAAGAAAUAAGGUCCGCGAAAAAAACGCGACCUUAAACUCGUACCUUCGUAAUUUGAAGCGACCUUGAGUAUCCAUGAUGUUACGCGCACCGUCAUGAGUGUAAGACGUGUAAGUUAUUUUUUCAAUUUUUUCUAAAGAAAUUGAUGUACUUUUGAAUUUCAAAAAGUCCAUUAAAAAAAAAUUCGCGCUAGAGAAAAAGAAGGGGAAAAAUCUUAGCUUUUCGAGGAUUUGUUAGAUAUAUGGUGCAAACAAUGUCUGGUAUAAUAAACUGGAAAUAGAGAAAGCUCUACUUUGAUCGACGAGGACAUCGAUUCCACCUUAACAAAGCUGCUGGAGCGCCGAUGACUGGAGAGGGAACGAGUUUAGUAGGAGAAACGCAAGGUUUUGGUACGGCCGAGUUCCAAGAUCCGGUGGCAGCGAACUGUAAGGGCACCGAGGAGUUGCGCAAUUCAGCCGACUAAAAGUACGUGAGGACAUCGGAAGGGGAAUGUCUCGAAUCACGGAAAACGGCAAAAUUGGGAACUAAUUCGAACGGACCGUUUAAACCACGCGCGACACGAAAAAACAUCGAACUAACGAUCCGAAUGACGGAUGACCUCUUCGAUAUUAACCCAGAAAAAUGAUGAUAUCACGUUACCGUGGCGUAAAAAAAUUGAGCCUUCGUUUUAUCAUAAUAUUCCACGGUGCAGUCGUAGAGGUCACGCGUGACGCAAUUAGCGCCGGUGUGUUUACAGGCAGCAGGUAACACCACGUGUUACGACUUAAUGUGCUGCUUCUAAUCGAGUCUACAUAUCACAUCGGUGAUUACAGGCUUUUAUAAAAUUGAAAGUAUUUUACCACCGAAGUACGAAACGAACGAACACGACAGCUCCGAGGAGAUCUCCACCGAUAACGAUCAGAUUGUCUGUCAAUGGCUGGAGCGAAUCACAUCCGGAAGUUGUACAGUAGGGUGGGUAUGGAAAUGUUGUACGAUGAGAGCUCCGGUGGAGAUGCAUCGCUACGAGCUUUGCGGUUCACGGGCGGCUGAACAGCCCUUCUUUACCGACUGAAACGACGCCGAUUUUUCAUUUUAUGGCUUUAACCGAGGAGCGGAACGAGCUGAAAUUUUGACAAAACACGGACGUGUUUUUCAUGCAUAUGAUGAAAUUGAUAAUGAAAAAAGAUCGAUCCUGCUGUAUUCACGAAUCACGCAUUUCCACAUGCUGUAAAAACGAUUUUUACUUAUAGGCAAAAAAUUCAAAAUGACAUCAUCGAAAAAUAUGAAUUAAGUCUCACUUCUCUUUGAAAAAUAUUGCAAAAUUUCGCAUAAUGAGAAGAAUAAUGAUCACAAGAAUGAUUUUAGUGCAAGUGGCGUUCGUUUCUGUGAAACAAAAAAAAAAUGUAUAAAAAAAUAAAAAAUUACUCUAUAUGUGCCGUUCGGUCACUUAAGCUUUGCUCAUUAGGGUUAGCAAAGUUACGCAAAAAUGACUGACGGUAGU